GGUCAGGUAGCUCAGCUGGUAGAGCACGCGCCUGAAAAGCGCGGGGUCGGCGGUUCGAUCCCGUCCCUGACCA
rnacentral:tRNA from 1 species